GGCAGCGUAGUGUAGUGGUCACACGUUCACUUCAUAAGUGGAUGGUCAUGGGUUCGAUCCCGGUACUUGCUA
rnacentral:tRNA from 1 species